rnacentral:rRNA from 1 species
AGUGAACGCUGGCGGUAGGCCUAACACACGCAAGUCGAACGGCAGCACAGUAAGAGCUUGCUCUUACGGGUGGCGAGUGGCGGACGGGUGAGGAAUACAUCGGAAUCUACUUUUUCGUGGGGGAUAACGUAGGGAAACUUACGCUAAUACCGCAUACGACCUACGGGUGAAAGCAGGGGAUCUUCGGACCUUGCGCGAUUGAAUGAGCCGAUGUCGGAUUAGCUAGUUGGCGGGGUAAAGGCUCACCAAGGCGACGAUCCGUAGCUGGUCUGAGAGGAUGAUCAGCCACACUGGAACUGAGACACGGUCCAGACUCCUACGGGAGGCAGCAGUGGGGAAUAUUGGACAAUGGGCGCAAGCCUGAUCCAGCCAUACCGCGUGGGUGAAGAAGGCCUUCGGGUUGUAAAGCCCUUUUGUUGGGAAAGAAAAGCAGCAGGUUAAUACCCCGCUGUUCUGACGGUACCCAAAGAAUAAGCACCGGCUAACUUCGUG